rnacentral:rRNA from 2 species
AAAACGACUCUCGGCAAUGGAUAUCUCGGCUCUCGCAUCGAUGAAGAGCGCAGCGAAAUGCGAUACGUGGUGCGAAUUGCAGAAUCCCGCGAACCAUCGAGUCUUUGAACGCAAGUUGCGCCCGAGGCCAACCGGCUAAGGGCACGUCUGCCUGGGCGUCAAGC